GGUAGCGUGGCCGAGCGGUCUAACGCGCUGGUUUUAGGCAAUAGUCAUUUCGAUGGCGUGGGUUCGAAUCCCACCGCUGCCA
rfam:Ciona savignyi cont_22602, whole genome shotgun sequence.